rnacentral:rRNA from 1 species
GAGUUUGAUUAUGGCUCAGAUUGAACGCUGGCGGCAGGCUUAACACAUGCAAGUCGAACGAUGAUUGUCUAGCUUGCUAGACAUGAUUAGUGGCGAACGGGUGAGUAAUGCUUAGGAAUCUGCCUAUUAGUGGGGGACAACAUUCCGAAAGGAAUGCUAAUACCGCAUACGUCCUACGGGAGAAAGCAGGGGAUCGCAAGACCUUGCGCUAAUAGAUGAGCCUAAGUCGGAUUAGCUAGUUGGUGGGGUAAAGGCCUACCAAGGCGACGAUCUGUAGCUGGUCUGAGAGGAUGAUCAGCCACACUGGGACUGAGACACGGCCCAGACUCCUACGGGAGGCAGCAGUGGGGAAUAUUGGACAAUGGGCGAAAGCCUGAUCCAGCCAUGCCGCGUGUGUGAAGAAGGCCUUUUGGUUGUAAAGCACUUUAAGUGGGGAGGAAAAGCUAAUGAUUAAUACCCAUAGCCCUGACGUACCCCCA